AUUGAACGCUGGCGGCAUGCCUUACACAUGCAAGUCGAACGGUAACAGGUUAAGCUGACGAGUGGCGAACGGGUGAGUAAUAUAUCGGAACGUGCCCAGUCGUGGGGGAUAACUGCUCGAAAGAGCAGCUAAUACCGCAUACGACCUGAGGGUGAAAGCGGGGGAUCGCAAGACCUCGCGCGAUUGGAGCGGCCGAUAUCAGAUUAGGUAGUUGGUGGGGUAAAAGCCUACCAAGCCAACGAUCUGUAGCUGGUCUGAGAGGACGACCAGCCACACUGGGACUGAGACACGGCCCAGACUCCUACGGGAGGCAGCAGUGGGGAAUUUUGGACAAUGGACGCAAGUCUGAUCCAGCCAUGCCGCGUGCGGGAAGAAGGCCUUCGGGUUGUAAACCGCUUUUGUCAGGGAAGAAAAGGUUCUGGUUAAUACCUGGGACUCAUGACGGUACCUGAAGAAUAAGCACCGGCUAACUACGUGCCAGCCGCCGCCGUAA
rnacentral:rRNA from 1 species